rnacentral:rRNA from 1 species
UUGAAAGGGAAACGAUUGAAGUCAGUCAUACCAACGGGAAAUCAACCUUUUGAGCUUGGUCUCGUGGGUUUUGAAGAGUUUCAAAGCCUCCGGAUUCGCGGGAUUGGGAUCUCUUGGUGUACUUUUUCGUACGGUUAGUCAACAUCGGUUUUGAAUGUCAUAACAUGACUGGAGGAAUGUAGCUUCGAUCUCGUAUUGAAGUGUUAUAGCCUUUGGUAGAUGUGAUGUUUGAGACCGAGGAUUGCAACGGAUACCCUUCAGGGCUAUUCGUCUGAUCUCUGAUACGUUGCCUUGAUGUUGAAAGCUUGCUUAUGAUGUUAGGGUAUUACGGUCAAAAGGUUAGAACGAAUUACAUUCGUUAAGGAUGUUGACGUA